GACCCGUUAGCUCAGGUGGUAGAGCAACUGACUUUUAAUCAGUGGGUCGAAGGUUCGAGUCCUUUACGGGUCACCA
rnacentral:tRNA from 2 species